UUGCGCAAUGGGGGAAACCCUGACGCAGCAACGCCGCGUGGGUGAUGAAGGUCUUCGGAUUGUAAAGCCCUGUUUUCUAGGACGAUAAUGACGGUACUAGAGGAGGAAGCCACGGCUAACUACGUGCCAGCAGCCGCGGUAAUACGUAGGUGGCGAGCGUUGUCCGGAUUUACUGGGCGUAAAGGGUGCGUAGGCGGAUGUUUAAGUGGGAUGUGAAAUCCCCGGGCUUAACCUGGGGGCUGCAUUCCAAACUGGAUAUCUAGAGUGCAGGAGAGGAAAGCGGAAUUCCUAGUGUAGCGGUGAAAUGCGUAGAGAUUAGGAAGAACACCAGUGGCGAAGGCGGCUUUCUGGACUGUAACUGACGCUGAGGCACGAAAGCGUGGGUAGCAAACAGGAUUAGAUACCCUGGUAGUCCACGCCGUAAACGAUGGAUACUAGGUGUAGGGGGUAUCAACUCCCCCUGUGCCGCAGUUAACACAAUAAGUAUCCCGCCUGGGGAGUACGGUCGCAAGAUUAAAACUCAAAGGAAUUGACGGGGGCCCGCACAAGCAGCGGAGCAUGUGGUUUAAUUCGAAGCAACGCGAAGAACCUUACCUGGACUUGACAUCCCUUGCAUAGCCUAGAGAUAGGUGAAGCCCUUUCGGGGCAAGGAGACAGGUGGUGCAUGGUGUCGU
rnacentral:rRNA from 1 species